UCAUGAUCCCAGGGUCCUGGGAUUGAGUCCUGCAUUGGGCUCCCCACUCAGUGGGAAGUCUGCUUCUCCCUCUGCCCCUCUCCCCCCACUUGUGCUCACACACACACACUCUCUCUCUCUCUCUCUCAAAAAUAAAAUCUUUAAAAAAAAAAAAAAAGGGAAGAGCUGCACUGGGGUCAGGAGGAGUGGCUCAUUAUACACUUUCAAGUUGGGAGGGGGUUAGGGAUAGUGUAAGUCUCUAAGGAAUUUUGGAAGCAAGCUUUUCAGGACUUCAGGGGGCUAGCUAUUGUUGGGAAAGGUCAUUUAUCACUGUCUGAUAAAACCUGAGUCAUGAGACCCUUCAGAUGUAUAUCGGUCGGUCAUAUGCUUGGAAGAUGAUUGCCAACAUGUAUCUUGGGCGGGGGGAGUGGUUAGAGAUAAAGGAAGUUUUCAAAGGAAUUUUUAUAUGUUAAAGUAGACUUACAGGAUGGGGGUGGGUGGGCUAGGACUGCCUUCUGCCGUCAACAUCUGGGCAGCUGAGUUCCUGGAGGAAGGUCACUCUGCCUGUUUCAAGGACUUGUCAAUGGGCUGUAAGUAGUAAGGAAAUUUAAUAAUUUUUCUUCUGCCUUUGUUUCCCCCAUCAGAACUACAGAAGAAAGCGUUCUGGAGGAUUCAGGAAAGGAAAGGAAGGAUGUCUCUUUCUCUGACAGAAGAGAGUCCUACAGAGGGGUAUGCCAGCCACAUGUAGCCCUCUGCUUCUUGUCUUUAAUGAGCUGAGAGGACCUCCUGCCCUCUAGCCCAAGAGGAGAAGGCCCAUACAGUCACACAUGCCAGCUCUUCCUGGGCACUGACUCACGGAGCCUUUGACCCAAGGCACGAGAAGUGUCACCAUGCAGGUGGGGCAAAUGGAAGAGUCAGCUUUAAAUCGGAGUUGUCAGCAACUAUAUUGCAUAUGCAAAGAGUAAGUAUUCCAAUCAAAAGGCAGAGACCGACAACCUGGGUACAAAAACAAUCAUGUUGUUUGAAGAAAACAACUCCUAUUUAAGGAUAUAUAAGGACACCGACAAGUUAAUCGUAAAAAAAUGGGAAAACUUUAUGCUGUGUUACUUAGUCUGCUAAGAUUGGGCUGCUAUUAUUAAACCAGAUGGCUUACAGACAGCAGAAAUUAAAAAACAA
rnacentral:lncRNA from 1 species